GACGAACCGUGCGAACGUUGUUCGGAAUCACUGGGCUUAAAGGGCGCGUAGGCGGGCGGCCGCGUCCGGGGUGAAAUCCUCCCGCUCAACGGGAGAACGGCCUCGGAUACGGGCGGCCUCGAGGGGGGUAGGGGCAUCUGGAACUGUGAGUGGAGCGGUGAAAUGCGUUGAUAUUCACAGGAACUCCGGUGGCGAAGGCGAGGUGCUGGACCCCAUCUGACGCUGAGGCGCGAAAGCCAGGGGAGCGAACGGGAUUAGAUACCCCGGUAGUCCUGGCCCUAAACGAUGGGUACUAGGUAGUAGACCGGACAUGGGUUUACUGCCGGAGCUAAAGUGCUAAGUACCCCGCCUGGGGAGUAUGGUCGCAAGGCUGAA
rnacentral:rRNA from 1 species